rnacentral:tRNA from 1 species
AAGCCCCGGAGAAACUCAAUUCACCCUUUAAAAUUUGCAAUUUUAUGUGCUUAACACUACAAGGCU